UAUACAAUGAAAUUUAAAAAAAAAUGAGAGCUAAGAGUGUUACAUGUACUUGGGGGAACAGAGGAAGGAAUUUGAAGUCAGAUUAAUUAUAUUUCUGCCAGUGUUGGGACGGAUAAAUUUCCAUAAUAAAAUGAAACGAAUUAUUCGCAACAAAUAAGACACAUGUAUUACCUUGCAGUCACCGUCGCACAUAAUGUAUACAUACAACUGACAACAUCCCAAAUCCCUUUCCCCCUUUGUUGUUUACUUGGCGGAAUUUUCUUUGCCUUUUAGACUGGUUCCCAUACAUUGCCUUGAAUAAGUCCUACGUUUAUUGGUUUUGUUUACAAGCUUCAAUAUCAAUAAAAUCUCCCGCACAUUUACAGUCUGUAUUGUAAACUACUAAAACAUACUUUACACACAAUUUUCAGCUCAGUAUUAUGUUAUCCUCUUCAUUCAAGUAAUAUGUAAACUCUUCUCGAAUGUAAAACGAACGAUCUACUCUGAUAAGUAACCCAAAUAUGGCACUGUGUAUUCGGUUGAAUAGCCAAUCAUUUCAAAUCAAGUGGAGCGGGUCUGCAUCGCUAUUUUGACGAAGUUUGCAACCAGAGGUAAUUUUUUGAAACCUCAUCUAGAUUUAAGGAGAUUCUUGUCUUGACAACUGCUCGAACUCCCGGAUUGGCAUGCACUGCAGGUUGAGUGAAAUCAGUAUGCAGAUUGUUGAAAGGAAAACAUCAAGACGGGGCGAGGAAGACGACAAAACAUGACUGAGGAUCCCAAAGUUCUUUGGCUCAAGCUACUCGGCCUACCAUGAGAAAAUUAAAAGAUCUGCCAUGAAGAAGAGGCAGGUUCUCAAGUUUCAUAUUAUAGAUGGCAAGUAUUGUUUAGAUUUAAUUUUAAAGUAUUUUUGAUAAAGAAAGGGUGUUUGGCAGUUCAUAGCUAUUAACUGUGAUUGCAUUGUGUAUGAAUUUUCAAAAUCAAUUCAUUCUUUGGUGACCGUGUGCUUCA